GGAACAGAAGAGAAAGGAUCUGACUAGGGAACCAGCAGUGCCUGUCCCCCUCCCUCAAGUUCCUGUUACCCCACACAUAGAGAAUUCUGCUUUUAUCCCCCAGUGUCAAUGGCAAAAUCUGGGGAGGGUGAGAUCAUGCAGGUCUUGUGAGUCAACAGCUACAGUUCACUCAAAUUUAACAAGUUACAAAUGGGUCAUCUCGAAGGACACCAGGGCCUAUAAGUGGAGAAAGAUGCUGGGUCCAGUCAAGACCUAGUGUAACCGGCAGCAGACAGGCCAUUGAACAUAGGAAAGUUCAGACUGUGAUACGUGCAGUUACUGUCAUAGAGACACAAUGGUGUAAAUGACAGCAAGAAUGAGACAGCUUUAAUUUCAGUAAGGGAGAAUUUGAAUGUAGCUUUUCAGGGCAGGUAGUAUUCUUAUAAGUAGGAUAGAAGGAAGAGGAUGUUUCAAGCAUCGAGACAAAACUACAUGAACUAAAGACUGAGGGCAAGAAAGUAGGCAGUUUACUAUUUCGGAGAGACACCAGCUUUGUCACUGUGUUUGUCUGGCUCCCUUCCCACCUUCACCGGAGGAAAAUGGAAGAGCAACAGCUGACUGCGAAUCCGCGCGCCUCCUCGGCGGGCAGCGACUCCUGUUGCUUCUCCGAGCUCCGUCGCCCUUAGGGACAAUCUCCCCACUCGCCCCCUCGCCGGCGCGGAGAAGAGGGCACGGGCGCGGACAGAGGGGUCUGCGCGGCGCAGCUACCCAGAAGCCACCG
rnacentral:lncRNA from 1 species